rnacentral:rRNA from 1 species
CCCAGACUCCUACGGGAGGCAGCAGUGAGGAAUAUUGGUCAAUGGCCGCAGGGCUGAACCAGCCAAGUCGUGUGAGGGAUGACGGUCCUAUGGAUUGUAAACCUCUUUUGUCAGGGAGCAAAGGGCGCCACGUGUGGCGUUUUGCGAGUACCUGAAGAAAAAGCAUCGGCUAACUCCGUGCCAGCAGCCGCGGUAAUACGGAGGAUGCGAGCGUUAUCCGGAUUUAUUGGGUUUAAAGGGUGCGCAGGCGGAAUGUCAAGUCAGCGGUAAAAUUUCGGGGCUCAACCCCGGCGAGCCGUUGAAACUGGCUGUCUUGAGAUGUCGAGAGGUAUGCGGAAUGCGCAGUGUAGCGGUGAAAUGCUUAGAUAUUGCGCAGAACUCCGAUUGCGAAGGCAGCAUACCGGCGGCGAUCUGACGCUGAGGCACGAAAGCGUGGGUAUCGAACAGGAUUAGAUACCCGCGUA